rnacentral:snRNA from 1 species
AGCUUUGCGCAGAGGCAGCAUCGUAGCCAAUGAGGUUUAUCAGAGGCGCGAUUAUUGUUAAUUGGGAAAAAAAAU